UCCAAAAACUCUCCAAUUCUCUCAAAAAUUUCACAAUUCUCAUUCACUUUUUUCAUCAAAUUCUUCAAUAAUUCUCCAUUGUUUUGGCAAUUUCUUGGUGAUUUCUUCAUGUGCAGAUGAUUAUGUGAUUCUGUUUUUGGAGAUUGAAGCAAAAUUCGUGCAAGAACACCAACUGUCCAAGCAUCACUCAUCAAUGGCAAUUGGCGAUUCUUCAUGAUCCAAGCAUCGUCGAGCUGAAAGUUCUUCACCAAUCAUCUUCUUGAGCAACAUUCUUCAUCUGUUUUCAAGAAUUGAAGCCAAAAACAUCCUGAAUCGCGAGUUGCUCAUCCAAGAGGUACAUUUAGUCGCUUACAGUUCUUUAAGAACUUGCUUGCUGUUGCUUGGUUUUUAAACCACUUGAGGGAAAAGAGGCAGAAAGGGCAAAAAGCCAGAGAACGAAGGUUGAAGGAAGGAGAAGCUUGGAGCUCGGAAGCUGCCGGAUUAACUCAGGUAACGAGAAAUGAGUUGAAUAGAAGCUAAUGCUUGGAGUCUAGAGUAGUUCUUAUGGGUCAUGCUCUGAUAGAUGUAACAUCGGGAGGGAAUGUUUUAAUUAAUUUGAUAUUGGUGGUUGAAUGAUUUACAUGUAUUGUGUUACAUGUUUUACAUUGAUGUUGGAUUUUAUUCCGCUGCGAAUUAUGCAAAAGAACCUUAUUUUGAUUAAAUAAAUGAGCAUGACAGGACAU